GGAUGAAAAAGGAAACCUUCCUUGUGAAGACCUCAGAGGACAUAUGGUGGGCAAGCCAGUGCAUAAGGGAUCUGAAUCACCAAAUUCAUUUCUGGAUCAGGAAUAUCGAAAGAGAUUUAAUAUUGUCGAAGAAGAUACUGUCUUAUAUUGCUAUGAAUAUGAAAAAGGAAGAUCAAGUAGUCAAGGAAGACGAGAAAGCACCCCAACUUAUGAAAACUCUCUACUUCGGUAUAUGAGCAAUGAAAAGAUUGCUCAAGAAGAAUACAUGUUUCAGAGAAACAGCAAAAAGGACACAGGGAAGAAGUCAAAAAAGAAGGGUGAUAAGAGUAAUAGCCCAACUCACUAUUCAUUGCUACCUAGUUUACAAAUGGAUGCACUGAGACAAGACAUCAUGGGCACUCCUGUGCCAGAGACCACACUAUACCAUACAUUUCAGCAGUCCUCACUGCAGCACAAAUCAAAGAAGAAAAACAAAGGUCCUAUAGCAGGCAAGAGCAAAAGACGAAUUUCUUGCAAAGAUCUUGGCCGUGGUGACUGUGAAGGCUGGCUUUGG
rnacentral:sRNA from 1 species